rnacentral:rRNA from 1 species
GACGAACGCUGGCGGCGUGCUUAACACAUGCAAGUCGAACGAAGUGGCGAACGGGUGAGUAACGCGUACUCAACCUGCCCUUCAGAGGGGGACAACAGUUGGAAACGACUGCUAAUACCGCAUACUGAUGGAGGGGAUGGAGUCGGAUUAGCUAGUUGGGGGGGUAACGGCCUACCAAGGCGACGAUCAGUAGCGGGUCUGAGAUGAUGAUCAGCCACACUGGGACUGAGACACGGCCCAGACUCCUACGGGAGGCAGCAGUGGGGAAUUUUGGACAAUGGGCGCAAGCCUGAUCCAGCCAUGCCGCGUGUCUGAAGAAGGCCUUCGGGUUGUAAAGGACUUUUGUUAGGGAAGCGGUACCUACAGAAUAAGCACCGGCUAACUACGUGCCAGCAGCCGCGGUAAUAC